UACGUAGGGUGCAAGCGUUGUCCGGAAUUAUUGGGCGUAAAGAGCUCGUAGGCGGUCUGUUGCGUCGGCUGUGAAAACCCGAGGCUCAACCUCGGGCCUGCAGCCGAUACGGGCGGACUAGAGUUCGGCAGGGGAGACUGGAAUUCCUGGUGUAGCGGUGAAAUGCGCAGAUAUCAGGAGGAACACCGGUGGCGAAGGCGGGUCUCUGGGCCGAUACUGACGCUGAGGAGCGAAAGCGUGGGGAGCGAACAGG
rnacentral:rRNA from 1 species